AUUGAACGCUGGCGGCAUGCCUUACACAUGCAAGUCGAACGGCAGCGGGCCUUCGGGUGCCGGCGAGUGGCGAACGGGUGAGUAAUGCAUCGGGAACGUGCCAUUGAGUGGGGGGAUAACGUAGCGAAAGUUGCGCUAAUACCGCAUAUUCUGUGAGCAGGAAAGCAGGGGACCGCAAGGCCUUGCGCUCUUUUGAGCGGCCGAUGUCAGAUUAGCUAGUUGGUGAGGUAAAGGCUUACCAAGGCGACGAUCUGUAGCGGGUCUGAGAGGGAUGAUCCACCACACUGGAACUGAGACACGGUCCAGACU
rnacentral:rRNA from 1 species